rnacentral:piRNA from 1 species
UGGGCGAUACCCUAUACAACUGGGAGAAGA